rnacentral:rRNA from 1 species
UACGUAGGGGGCAAGCGUUGUCCGGAUUCAUUGGGCGUAAAGAGCGUGUAGGCGGCCAGGUAGGUCGGUUGUGAAAACUGGAGGCUCAACCUUCAGAGGUCGACCGAAACCAUCUGGCUAGAGUCCGGGAGAGGAGAGUGGAAUUCCUGGUGUAGCGGUGAAAUGCGCAGAUAUCAGGAAGAACACCCGUGGCGAAAGCGGCUCUCUGGAACGGUACUGACGCUGGGACGCGAAAGCGUGGGGAGCGAACAGG